rnacentral:rRNA from 1 species
AGGACAAACGCUGGCGGGGUGCAUGAGACAUGCAAGUCGAACGAGGUGCCAUUGAGCUUGCUUGAUGGUUACCUAGUGGCGGACGGCUGAGUAACGCGUAGGUGACCUGCCCGGAAGUGGGGAAUAACUGCCCGAAAGGGUGGCUAAUACCGCAUGUGGUCGACGAUUCGUUUCGUCGUCUAAAGGAGUAAUCCGCUUCCGGUGGGGCCUGCGUCCGAUUAGCUAGUUGGUGAGGUAACGGCUCACCAAGGCGACGAUCGGUAGCUGGUCUGAGAGGAUGAUCAGCCAGACUGGGACUGAGAACGGCCCAGACUCCGUACGGGAGG